UACGGAGGGUGCGAGCGUUAUCCGGAAUUACUGGGUUUAAAGGGUGCGUAGGCGGCUAAGUAAGUCAGGAGUGAAAGUUUGCGGCUCAACCGUAAAAUUGCUUUUGAUACUGCAUAGCUAGAAUUAGGAUGAGGUCAGCGGAAUGUGGCAUGUAGCGGUGAAAUGCAUAGAUAUGCCAUAGAACACCAAUUGCGAAGGCAGCUGGCUAGACCUGGAUUGACGCUGAGGCACGAAAGCGUGGGGAGCGAACAGG
rnacentral:rRNA from 1 species